GGAGGGGUGUCCGAGCGGUCUAAGGAAGCGGUCUUGAAAACCGCCGCCCCGGUUUCCCGGGGCCGUGGGUUCGAAUCCCACCCCCUCCGCCA
rnacentral:tRNA from 1 species